UCAAGUGACUAAGUGCAUGCGGCGGAUGCCUUGGCGAUCACAGGCGAAGAAAGACGCGGCAGCCUGCGAAAAGCUGCGGGGAGCUGGCAAACGAGCUUUGAUCCGCAGAUAUCUGAAUGGGGGAACCCACACCGCAAGGUGUAUCCGUAGCUGAAUACAUAGGUUACGGAGGCGAACGAGGAGAACUGAAACAUCUAAGUAUCCUCAGGAAAAGAAAUCAACCGAGAUUCCGGCAGUAGCGGCGAGCGAACCCGGAGGAGCCCAGCUUUUGAUAGUACGAACUUUAGCCGAAAGGUCCUGGAAAGGCCUGCUAUAGUGGGUGAUAGCCCCGUAGGCGAAAAAGUUUGUGCGGUACUAAGGAAGCGAGAAGUAGAGCGGGACACGUGGAAUCCUGUUCGAAGACGGGGGGACCAUCCUCCAAGGCUAAAUACUCGUGAUCGACCGAUAGUGAACCAGUACCGUGAGGGAAAGGCGAAAAGAACCCCGGGAGGGGAGUGAAAUAGAACCUGAAACCGCAUGCAUACAAACAGUAGGAGCCUUUACGGAGGUGACUGCGUACCUUUUGCAUAAUGGGUCAGCGACUUACAUUCUGUGGCGAGCUUAACCGAAUAGGGGAGGCGCAGCGAAAGCGAGUUCGAAAUGAGCGUCCAGUCGCAGGGUGUAGACCCGAAACCAGAUGAGCUAUCCAUGGCCAGGCUGAAGGUGUGGUAACACACACUGGAGGACCGAACCGACUAGUGUUGCAAAAUUAGCGGAUGAGCUGUGGAUAGGGGUGAAAGGCUAAACAAAUCUGGAGAUAGCUGGUUCUCCCCGAAAACUAUUGAGGUAGUGCCUCGUGUAUGGCUCCAGGGGGUAGAGCACUGUUAUGGCUAGGGGGACAUGGCGUCUUACCAAACCAUGGCAAACUCCGAAUACUUGGAAGUCUGAGCACGGGAGACAGAGCACCGGGUGCUAACGUCCGGACUCAAAAGGGAAACAACCCAGACCGCCGGCUAAGGUCCCAAAUAACAGCUAAGUGGAAAACGAAGUGGAAAGGCCGUGACAACCAGGAAGUUGGCUUAGAAGCAGCCAUCCUUCAAAGAAAGCGUAAUAGCUCACUGGUCGAGUCCUUCUGCGCGGAAGAUGUAACGGGGCUAAGCUGUUAACCGAAGCCGCGGAUGCGCUGGUUAUCCAGUGCGUGGUAGGGGAGCGUUCUGUAAGUCUGCGAAGGCGGUUCGAGAGGACUGCUGGAGAUAUCAGAAGUGCGAAUGCUGACAUGAGUAACGUUAAAGCAGGUGAAAAGCCUGCUCGCCGUAAGCCCAAGGAUUCCUGCUCUACGUUCAUCGGAGCAGGGUGAGUCGGCUCCUAAGGUCAGGCCGAAAGGCGUAGCCGAUGGGAAUCAGGUUAAUAUUCCUGAACCUGCGUCAGAUGCGAUGGGGGGACGGAGCAUGGAAGAUCAUCCGGGUGUUGGAAGUCCCGGUUGUUUAGCGUAGGAGGUCUGCAGGCAAAUCCGCAGACGCAUCUCCAAGGCAAAGACACGUGCCGCCACGGCGGCGAAGUGAUCGGAAGUGCUUCCAAGAAAAGCCUCUAAGCCCCAGUCUGAUGCGGACCGUACCGCAAACCGACACUGGUGGGCGAGCUGAAUAUGCUCAGGCGCUUGAGAGAACUCAGGAGAAGGAACUCGGCAAAUUGACACCGUAACUUCGGGAUAAGGUGUGCCUUUGUAGUGUGAAGAGAGAAACACUCCGAGCAUGAAGAGGCCUCAGAGAAUCGGUGGCUGCAACUGUUUACUAAAAACACAGCACUCUGCAAAGAUGAAAGUCGACGUAUAGGGUGUGAUGCCUGCCCGGUGCUGGAAGAUUAAUUGAUGGGGUGCAAGCUCCUGAUCGAAGUCCCAGUAAACGGCGGCCGUAACUAUAACGGUCCUAAGGUAGCGAAAUUCCUUGUCGGGUAAGUUCCGACCUGCACGAAUGGCGUAACGAUCUCCACACUGUCUCGGCCAGAGACUCGGUGAAAUUGAAGUCGCGGUGAAAAUGCCGUGUACCCGCAGAAAGACGGAAAGACCCUGUGCACCUUUACUAUAGCUUGACAUUGG
rnacentral:rRNA from 1 species